GCAGGAGUAAAAGAAUUCACCCAAGACAGAAGAAAGGAGAUAGAAGUUUAUUGAAUACAAGGCAGGGAGCAGCUGAGAGGACAGCAAAGGAGAGUCUCUAUGCCAGGAGGUAGUGACAUAUGAAACUUUAUCAUAGACCAGUUUAUGAGGCACAGCCCAGUGGAUCCCUUGGCCAUACAAGUAGAAAUAAAGCUUCUUCUACGAAAUUCUACAUUUGGAACACCAUGGAAGUCAAGUUCCUUGGCAUCUUUGUGGAGGAUAGAAAAAGCAACAAGAGCAGGGUCAGACCUUCUUCAUAAAAACUCUAAGGACUUCAGUUGUAAGUCUUCAAAAUCCAGUGUGGAUUUUAUGCCUGGAAGGCAUCUCAUUUCAGUGUAUCUGCAGCUCCCCCAGAAUUUUACCAAAGAAAUCAGACCUUCGUCCAGCAGUCCCACUGUGUUGCUAGAGUAGAAGAUGUUCCUUAACUCUGCCUUGUGUUUCUGUCUGGUCACUUGCUGGCAGCUGGGCAUGCUUUCACACUACAGUGUGGAAAAUUCCAGAUGAGGGCUGUAAGAACAGCAUGAUGGGAGUCCCUCACAGUCUGUUUUCCUGGAAGCUUCAGUAGAUCUAACUCAGAUGCAGUAUACACUUGUGCAAUGAAAGCUCGUCGGUAGCCAUGAAAGUAACAACCCUCAUUCCCACUACCAGAACCAACCUCAUUUGUCAAGAUUUGCAAUUAUUCUGCCAAUUAUCUGGCCUGUCUGGGGGCUGCCUUGAAAACUGGCUCAAGAGGUUUGUGUUUAUUUCAACCAAGUCAGAGCUGACCAUGUGCUGAAGCUGGACAUGAGAUGGGGGAAGAUAUCAAAAACAUCUAUAAGCUAAUGUUUUAGUCACUGUUC